GCCGCGUUGGCGUAGUGGUAGCGCGUCUCACUUGUAUCAACCAGACGUCGCCUCUGUAGACAUGAGAAGGUCACUCGUUCAAUCCGGGUACGUGGCA